UACAGAGGGUGCAAGCGUUGUUCGGAAUUAUUGGGCGUAAAGCGCGUGUAGGCGGCUUUGCAAGUCGGGUGUGAAAGCCCUCAGCUCAACUGAGGAAGUGCGCCCGAAACUGCAGAGCUUGAGUGCCGGAGAGGGUGGCGGAAAUUCCCCAAGUAGAGGUGAAAUUCGUAGAUAUGGGGAGGAACACCGGUGGCGAAGGCGGCCCCCUGGACCGGUACUGACGCUG
rnacentral:rRNA from 1 species